AGAGUUUGAUCCUGGCUCAGGAUGAACGCUAGCGGCAGGCCUAAUACAUGCAAGUCGAACGGGAUUGAAGAGCUUGCUUUUCAUGAGAGUGGCGCACGGGUGCGUAACACGUAUGUAACCUACCUUAAUCUGGGGGAUAGCCUCUCGAAAGAGAGAUUAACACCGCAUAACAUUAUCGGACAGCAUUUUCUGAUAAUCAAAUAUUUAUAGGAUUAAGAUGGGCAUGCGGAACAUUAGCUAGUUGGUAAGGUAAUGGCUUACCAAGGCUACGAUGUUUAGGGGAUCUGAGAGGAUGACCCCCCACACUGGUACUGAGACACGGACCAGACUCCUACGGGAGGCAGCAGUAAGGAAUAUUGGUCAAUGGGCGCAAGCCUGAACCAGCCAUGCCGCGUGCAGGAAGACGGCCCUACGGGUUGUAAACUGCUUUUGUACCGGAAUAAACCUUUUCACGUGUGAGAAGCUGAAUGUACGGUAAGAAUAAGGAUCGGCUAACUCCGUGCCAGCAGCCGCGGUAAUACGGAGGAUCCAAGCGUUAUCCGGAUUUAUUGGGUUUAAAGGGUGCGUAGGCGGUUCUUUAAGUCAGGGGUGAAAGACGGUAGCUUAACUAUCGCAGUGCCUUUGAUACUGAAGAACUUGAAUACACUUGAGGUAGGCGGAAUGUGACAAGUAGCGGUGAAAUGCAUAGAUAUGUCACAGAACACCAAUUGCGAAGGCAGCUUACUAAAGUGUCAUUGACGCUGAGGCACGAAAGCGUGGGGAUCAAACAGGAUUAGAUACCCUGGUAGUCCACGCCCUAAACGAUGAAUACUCGAUGUUGGCGAUAUACGGUCAGCGUCUAAGCGAAAGCGUUAAGUAUUCCACCUGGGGAGUACGCCCGCAAGGGUGAAACUCAAGGAAUUGACGGGGCCCGCACAAGCGGAGGAGCAUGUGGUUUAAUUCGAUGAUACGCGAGGAACUUACCCGGGCUUGAAAGUAGUGAAUGAGACAGAAACGUCUCAAUCCUUCCGGGACACGAAACUUAA
rnacentral:rRNA from 1 species